rnacentral:rRNA from 1 species
GAUGAACGCUGGCGGCGUGCUUAAUACAUGCAAGUCGAACGGAAAGGCGCGGCUCUUGCUGGUUGGUCGAGAGGCGAACGGGGGAGUAAAACACGAGUAUACUGUCCCUAUCAUAGGGGGAACACCUGGAGAAUCGGGAGAAUACCCGGUAGAAGAUACUGAACCGCGGGGGGGGAUGGAAAAAUUCGGCGGUUGGGGCUGGAAUAGCGGCUUACCAGCUUGUUGGUGGGGUAGGGGCGUUCCACGGCUUUGACGGGUAGCCGGCCUGGGAGGGUGACCGGCCACAUUGGGACUGAGAUACGGCCCAGACUCCUACGGGAGGCAGCAGUGGGGAAUAUUGCACAAUGGGCGGAAGCCUGAUGCAGCAGCGCCGCGUGCGGGAUGACGGCCUUCGGGUUGUAAACCGCUUUCGCCUGUGACGAAGCGUGAGUGACGGUAAUGGGUAAAGAAGCACCGGCUAACUACGUG